UACGUAGGGUGCGAGCGUUGUCCGGAAUUAUUGGGCGUAAAGAGCUUGUAGGCGGUUUGUCGCGUCUGCUGUGAAAAUCCGAGGCUCAACCUCGGACUUGCAGUGGGUACGGGCAGACUAGAGUGUGGUAGGGGAGACUGGAAUUCCUGGUGUAGCGGUGAAAUGCGCAGAUAUCAGGAGGAACACCGAUGGCGAAGGCAGGUCUCUGGGCCGCUACUGACGCUGAGAAGCGAAAGCAUGGGGAGCGAACAGG
rnacentral:rRNA from 1 species